CCGAAAUUUUUUUCUAAAUGCCGCUUCGCGGCGAUCGAUUGAGUGUCUCCCUUUUUAUAUGACGCCGUCUGCCCGUCUGUCUGGCGUCGUCGGCCCUUGCGCCCGCUUCCCUGCCGCUCUCCCGUCGCCGUCGUUGUCGCCUUUGGCCACAGGAUGGCUUGACGGCGCCGGUGACGACGACGCCAAGGCGGAAAAAAAAGAAAGACACUCUGUUCUGCCGAUCGUGACCAACGCCGAUUGUCACCACGAUGACGGCGGGAGACCUCGACGCCUGCAAAAAAAAGAGACACCGACGACGCCCCUUUUGCGCGACCCACACUCGCCGACGACGUCAACGACGACCUUGCAGACGACGGGCGAAAAAAGAUCAGCGACCACGUCGUAGGCGACGCCAAGGCCGUGCAAAUUGGCGGCGACUACCGCGCCAACUCUAUGCAGCGACCUCGAUCGUCGCAUCUCUUUAGGCGCUUGGGGGCUUGUUCCACCGCCCGCCUUUUGCCACCGUCUCCUCGUCGCCGUCGUCCCCGCUGUUGUCGUCGUCGUCGCCAUUGUCGUCGUCGUUGGCAUGAGUCGCGGCCGAUGCCCGGCCUCUUGUGCCUCUUGUUUCGACCUCUCUUCUUCUAUCUCUUUUACCCGCGCCCGUCUGUGCCGUCCACGAGGCCCCUUUUCUUCUUCUGGUGCUCGUCGGCCAGUCGGUUGCCUGUCGCUGGCCGACUUCCUCCAUCCGUCUCCACCACUCCCAACCAGGCCGACCUCUGAGGCGAAAGAACCAAGUGGAAAAACCAAGAGCGCCGGCGAGCGCGCCACUAACCCGACACCCCAACGCCACCGACCGACCGACGAGAAACCAUCAACAAAGGGACAAAGGGACCCCUUUUACUUGUCGUCGCCAAGCGGCCUUUUUAGAAAAUUUUUUUGACGCCCUUUUCUUCCCGUCUUUGCCGACGAGGGCGCCCUCGUCGGCAAAGACGAGAGGCCUCGCACACAGAGAUUGCGUCGCCAAAAACGAGUUCCCGUCCGCCCGCCGCAUUGGCGACGACGCCGAGAGCAGACAUAAAGAAAUCACAAGCGAAAAUCACAAGGGAAAAUUGGCGUGAACGGCCCACUGCCCCAAUGGCCGCAGGCGAUCGCCCCUCUGACAACCGCAAAGGCCACCGGAAAAAUUGUCCACCGCCAUCAACGGCGAUGACGAUGCCCGCGAGUUUUGUCGCACCCUCCAAAAUUACGCCCCGACAACAACGAGGCCGCCCGCCCCUCGCGCGCGCACACAACAACCCAACCCCCGUCUAGAAUUUUCCAAAGAACCAUGAUAUAUCCACAAAAAAUCCCUCAUAAAACCCUCCUUUUCUUUUUGACCUAAAAUCCCGCAUAAAACCCUCUUUCCCUAAAAAUCUCGACCCAACAAGCCCCCAGCCGCCCUUUAGGCCGCAUACUCUGCGCAGCCGCAAAAAUCGCAAACCUCCCAAAAAUCCAACAACUGACCCUGCCUUGGCGCCCACCGUCAGAUGUCCAUACGCGAGGGCAAGCCGACGACCUCACCGACUGUCGCGACAAGGACAGAGACAGUGACGACGCUGCCAAAGAAGGGCGGAAAAAGAAGACAACAACCUCGCAAAAGAAGGGCGCCUUUUUAUGACGCCUUUUGUCUCAGUUUUCAAUCGUAAAUAUCUGGAUUUUAUCCCG
rnacentral:lncRNA from 1 species